rnacentral:miRNA from 1 species
CUAAGUUGAUCGUGUUUAUGACGUCGAAUAUCGACGUCAUAAACACCAAAUUUGAUCGUGUUUAUGACGUCGAAUAUCGACGUCAUAAACACCAAAU